rnacentral:lncRNA from 1 species
GUUUUGAGUUCUCCAACAGUGGAUUUCUGCUGUGGCCCAGCAUCCCCAGGGGAGCCCUAUGCCUGUCACCAUCAAAUCACCCACCUCCCCAAGGACAGGUCCACAAGGAACAUGUGUCCCAAGAAAUGCACUGUGGAAAACAGACACUGGGGUAGAUCGGAUGCACAAAUUAAAACUGUCAUGAGAAACAGCUUUGCGGGGGGAGACAGAUCACAAGUGGUCCUUCACCUACAGGAAUCACUGCUAACACACAGGACGCCUUUCCUCCAAUGGCCCCAAGAAGCUGCCCACUUUGGCUUCACCGAGGUUCUCACUCACGCUUACAGAGCCGGAAUUUGAGAAAAAUCCCAGGAAGAUUGGAAGCCCAAUGCCAGCAAGAGGUAGAGACUUCUUUUCUUCUGGAAAAUCAUACUUCACUCCAGCCCCAAUCACACCAGGCUUCAUCUGUGUCUACCUGAAGGUCACACACAUAGCCAAAUUUCCAUCUCAUUAAUUAUAACUCUUGGCAAGCCAUUAAAAAUCUCAUUUAAUCCUACCGUUCAUUCUCCUUUUAACUGACUUUCCAUAAUUAUAAUUCUAUUCUU